GUUCGAGUGGUGUAGUGGUUAUCACGCCAGUCUCACACACUGGAUGUCCUGGGUUCGAACCCCAGCUCGAACA